rnacentral:rRNA from 1 species
UACGUAGGGGGCUAGCGUUGUCCGGAUUUAUUGGGCGUAAAGAGCGUGUAGGCGGCCAGGUAGGUCUGCUGUGAAAACUCGAGGCUCAACCUCGAGACGUCGGCGGAAACCAUCUGGCUAGAGUCCGGAAGAGGAGAGUGGAAUUCCUGGUGUAGCGGUGAAAUGCGCAGAUAUCAGGAAGAACACCCGUGGCGAAGGCGGCUCUCUGGGACGGUACUGACGCUGAGACGCGAAAGCGUGGGGAGCGAAC